rnacentral:rRNA from 1 species
GACAGAGGUGCCGAGCGUUAGGCGGAAUUACUGGGCUUAAAGCGUGUGUAGGCGGGUCCGUAAGUACCUUGUGAAAUCCCAUGGCUCAACCAUGGAACUGCUUGGUAUACUGCGGAUCUUGAGCCACCUAGGGGCAAGUGGAACAAACGGUGGAGCGGUGAAAUGCGUAGAUAUCGUUUGGAACGCCAAUGGUGAAAACAACUUGCUGGGGGUGUGCUGACGCUGAGACACGAAAGCCAGGGGAGCAAACGGG